rnacentral:rRNA from 1 species
UACGUAGGGUACAAGCGUUGUCCGGAAUUAUUGGGCGUAAAGAGCUCGUAGGCGGUUUGUCGCGUCGAAUGUGAAAUCCCGGGGCUCAACCCCGGGCCUGCAUUCGAUACGGGCAGACUAGAGUUCGGUAGGGGAGUCUGGAAUUCCUGGUGUAGCGGUGAAAUGCGCAGAUAUCAGGAGGAACACCGGUGGCGAAGGCGGGACUCUGGGCCGAUACUGACGCUGAGGAGCGAAAGCGUGGGGAGCAAACAGG